rnacentral:rRNA from 1 species
ACUCAAAGGAAUUGACGGGGGCCCGCACAAGCGGUGGAGCAUGCGGUUUAAUUCGAUGCUACGCGAAAAACCUUACCAACCCUUGACAUGGUGGUCGCGGAUCGUAGAGAUACUUUCCUUCAGUUCGGCUGGACCACACACAGGUGUUGCAUGGCUGUCGUCAGCUCGUGUCGUGAGAUGUUGGGUUAAGUCCCGCAACGAGCGCAACCCUCAUCCUUAUUUGCCAGCGGGUAAUGCCGGGAACUAUACGGAAACUGCCGGUGAUAAGCCGGAGGAAGGUGGGGACGAGGUCAAGUCAUCAUGGCCCUUACGGGUUGGGCUACACGCGUGCUACAAUGGUAACAACAAUGGGAAGCAAGACGGCGACGUGGAGCAAAUCCCAAAAAGUUAUCUCAGUUCGGAUUGCACUCUGCAACUCGAGUGCAUGAAGUAGGAAUCGCUAGUAAUCGCGGAUCAGAAUGCCGCGGUGAAUACGUUCCCGGGCCUUGUACACACCGCCCGU